GUGCUGGGGUGAGACAGCAUGUUUCUGAGGCCCACGUGUAGUCAAGGGCUUGGCUGUGGAUGUCAGGCUGUGAGCACAGACAGUCAGCAAGUUGACGUGUCUAACAGAGCGGAUCUGACUAUGUCUCUCCAUCAGGCCGUCUCUGCCUCACUGCUUUCUUAACGGGUGGAGAUUUAUAGGAAUAUGGUGAUGAGACCUAGAGUGGACAAGACCAAAGGAUAUCACAUUCCCUCUGGGGUCUGGUCAGCACCAAGAAGUUUGCAACAACCAGCCACAUCCCCUACCCUUUCAGUAUAAAAGAAGCCUGAAUUCUAACUCGGCAUGCAGGAUUUUCAUUCCCCAGUCAGGGGUUGAACCCGAAGCCCCCUGCAUUGGGAAUGCAGAGUCUUAACCACUGGACUGCCAGGGAAGUCCCAAAACCAUACAUCUUAAAGUCAAGGAUGAGGAAAAGCCAGGAUAACCUUACAUUGUUGGUGCAUCUCAAAUCUGUCAGAAUGUCUAUCAUCAAAAAAGAACAUAAAUAAAAAAUGUUGGCGAAGAUAUGGAGAAGAGAGAA
ensembl:lncRNA